AGCAGCCGCGGUAAUUCCAGCUCCAAUAGCGUAUAUUAAAGUUGCUGCAGUUAAAAAGCUCGUAGUUGAAUUUCGGGAUCAUCAUGUCGGUCGUGCCUCGGUAUGUACUGGCAUCGUUGAUUUCUCCCUUCUGACGAACUAUGAUGUCAUUUAUUUGGUGUUGUGGGGAAUCAGGACUGUUACUUUGAAAAAUUAGAGUGUUUAAAGCAGGCUCACGCUUGAAUACAUUAGCACGGAAUAAUGAAAUAGGACGUUCGAUCUUAUUUUGUUGGUUUCUAGGAUUGACGUAAUGAUUAAUAGGGAUAGUUGGGGGCAUUAGUAUUCAAUUGUCAGAGGUGAAAUUCUUGGAUUUAUUGAAGACUAACUACUGCGAAAGCAUUUGCCAAGGAUGUUUUCAUUAAUCAAGAACGAAAGUUAGGGGAUCGAAGACGAUCAGAUACCGUCGUAGUC
rnacentral:rRNA from 1 species